rnacentral:rRNA from 1 species
UACGUAGGGGGCAAGCGUUGUCCGGAAUUAUUGGGCGUAAAGCGCGUGUAGGCGGCUCGAUAAGUCUGCUGUGAAAGUCCAGGGCUCAACCCUGGAACGCCGGUGGAUACUGUCGAGCUCGAGUCCGGAAGAGGCGAGUGGAAUUCCUGGUGUAGCGGUGAAAUGCGCAGAUAUCAGGAAGAACACCAAUGGCGAAGGCAGCUCUCUGGGACGGUACUGACGCUGAGACGCGAAAGCGUGGGGAGCGAACAGG